UCGAGCGGAAAGGCCCCUUCGGGGGUACUCGAGCGGCGAACGGGUGAGUAACACGUGAGCAACCUGCCCCUGACUUCGGGAUAAGCCUGGGAAACUGGGUCUAAUACCGGAUACGACCAUUUUGCGCAUCUGUGGUGGUGGAAAGUUUUUCGGUUGGGGAUGGGCUCGCGGCCUAUCAGCUUGUUGGUGGGGUGAUGGCCUACCAAGGCUUCGACGGGUAACCGGCCUGAGAGGGCGACCGGUCACACUGGGACUGAGACACGGCCCAGACUCCUACGGGAGGCAGCAGUGGGGAAUAUUGCGCAAUGGGCGGAAGCCUGACGCAGCGACGCCGCGUGGGGGAUGACGGCCUUCGGGUUGUAAACCUCUUUCAGCAGGGACGAAGCGUAAGUGACGGUACCUGUAGAAGAAGCGCCGGCUAACUACGUGCCAGCAGCCGCGGGGUAAUUAC
rnacentral:rRNA from 1 species